rnacentral:rRNA from 1 species
ACUCUAAGCGGUGGAUCACUCGGCUCAUGGGUCGAUGAAGAACGCAGCAAACUGUGCGUCAUCGUGUGAACUGCAGGACACAUGAACAUCGACAUUUUGAACGCAUAUCGCAGUCCAUGCUGUUAUGUACUUUAAUUAAUUUUAUAGUGCUGCUUGGACUACAUAUGGUUGAGGGUUGUAAGACUAUGCUAAUUAAGUUGUUUAUAAAUUUUAUAAGCAUAUGGUAUAUUAUUGGAUAAAAUAAUAAUAUUUUUAUUCAUAAUAUUAAAAAAUAUAUAUGAAAAACAUUAUCUCACAUUUGGAUGUGAAAAACGAAGAGAAAUAUUUUCUUUUUCAAUCAAGUAAUACUGAGAAAUGUCUAGCAUAAAAAAUUGAAUUAUUUUUCAUCUAGAAUUGUCUCUUAUUAAUGAUUCGGAAAUAGAAAAAACUUGGUUAUGUUAUUAUUCUUCGUUGGUUCGUUUAAUGGAAAACACUUUGCUACAAGAAAUAAUGGAAAUUUUAUAACGAAUUUAAUAAAAUGUUUUUAUCAUUAUAUAUAAAGAAUUAAUGGCAAGAAAAAGUUAUAUACAACCUCAACUCAUAUGGGACUACCCCCUGAAUUUAAGCAUAUUAAUUAGGGGAGGAAAAGAAACUAACAAGGAUUUUCUUAGUAGCGGCGAGCGAAAAGAAAACAGUUCAGCACUAAGUCACUUGUCUAUAUGGCAAAUGUGAGAUGCAGUGUAUGGAGCGUCAAUAUUCUAGUAUGAGAAAUUAACGAUUUAAGUCCUUCUUAAAUGAGGCCAUUUACCCAUAGAGGGUGCCAGGCCCGUAUAACGUUAAUGAUUACUAGAUGAUGUUUCCAAAGAGUCGUGUUGCUUGAUAGUGCAGCACUAAGUGGGUGGUAAACUCCAUCUAAAACUAAAUAUAACCAUGAGACCGAUAGUAAACAAGUACCGUGAGGGAAAGUUGAAAAGAACUCUGAAUAGAGAGUUAAACAGUACGUGAAACUGCUUAGAGGUUAAGCCCGAUGAACCUGAAUAUCCGUUAUGGAAAAUUCAUCAUUAAAAUUGUAAUAUUUAAAUAAUAUUAUGAGGAUAGUGUGCAUUUUUUCCAUAUAAGGACAUUGUAAUCUAUUAGCAUAUACCAAAUUUAUCAUAAAAUAUAACUUAUAGUUUAUUCCAAUUAAAUUGCUUGCAUUUUAACACAGAAUAAAUGUUAUUAAUUUGAUAAAGUGCUGAUAGAUUAAUAUGAUUACAGUGCGUUAAUUUUUCGGAAUUAUAUAAUGGCAUAAUUAUCAUUGAUUUUUGUGUUUAUUAUAUGCACUUGUAUGAUUAACAAUGCGAAAGAUUCAGGAUACCUUCGGGACCCGUCUUGAAACACGGACCAAGGAGUCUAACAUAUGUGCAAGUUAUUGGGAUAUAAACCUAAUAGCGUAAUUAACUUGACUAAUAAUGGGAUUAGUUUUUUAACUAUUUAUAGCUAAUUAACACAAUCCCGGGGCGUUCUAUAUAGUUAUGUAUAAUGUAUAUUUAUAUUAUUUAUGCCUCUAACUGGAACGUACCUUGAGCAUAUAUGCUGUGACCCGAAAGAUGGUGAACUAUACUUGAUCAGGUUGAAGUCAGGGGAAACCCUGAUGGAAGACCGAAACAGUUCUGACGUGCAAAUCGAUUGUCAGAAUUGAGUAUAGGGGCGAAAGACCAAUCGAACCAUCUAGUAGCUGGUUCCUUCCGAAGUUUCCCUCAGGAUAGCUGGUGCAUUUUAAUAUUAUAUAAAAUAAUCUUAUCUGGUAAAGCGAAUGAUUAGAGGCCUUAGGGUCGAAACGAUCUUAACCUAUUCUCAAACUUUAAAUGGGUAAGAACCUUAACUUUCUUGAUAUGAAGUUCAAGGUUAUGAUAUAAUGUGCCCAGUGGGCCACUUUUGGUAAGCAGAACUGGCGCUGUGGGAUGAACCAAACGUAAUGUUACGGUGCCCAAAUUAACAACUCAUGCAGAUACCAUGAAAGGCGUUGGUUGCUUAAAACAGCAGGACGGUGAUCAUGGAAGUCGAAAUCCGCUAAGGAGUGUGUAACAACUCACCUGCCGAAGCAACUAGCCCUUAAAAUGGAUGGCGCUUAAGUUGUAUACCUAUACAUUACCGCUAAAGUAGAUGAUUUAUAUUACUUGUGAUAUAAAUUUUGAAACUUUAGUGAGUAGGAAGGUACAAUGGUAUGCGUAGAAGUGUUUGGCGUAAGCCUGCAUGGAGCUGCCAUUGGUACAGAUCUUGGUGGUAGUAGCAAAUAAUCGAAUGAGACCUUGGAGGACUGAAGUGGAGAAGGGUUUCGUGUGAACAGUGGUUGAUCACGAGUUAGUCGGUCCUAAGUUCAAGGCGAAAGCCGAAAAUUUUCAAGUAAAACAAAAAUGCCAAAUUAUAUAAACAAAGCGAAAAUAAUACACUUGAAUAAUUUUGAACGAAAGGGAAUACGGUUCCAAUUCCGUAACCUGUUGAGUAUCCGUUUGUUAUUAAAUAUGGGCCUCGUGCUCAUCCUGGCAACAGGAACGACCAUAAAGAAGCCGUCGAGAGAUAUCGGAAGAGUUUUCUUUUCUGUUUUAUAGCCGUACUACCAUGGAAGUCUUUCGCAGAGAGAUAUGGUAGAUGGGCUAGAAGAGCAUGACAUAUACUGUUGUGUCGAUAUUUCUCCUCGGACCUUGAAAAUUUAUGGUGGGGACACGCAAACUUCUCAACAGGCCGUACCAAUAUCCGCAGCUGGUCUCCAAGGUGAAGAGUCUCUAGUCGAUAGAAUAAUGUAGGUAAGGGAAGUCGGCAAAUUAGAUCCGUAACUUCGGGAUAAGGAUUGGCUCUGAAGAUUGAGAUAGUCGGGCUUGAUUGGGAAACAAUAACAUGGUUUAUGUGCUCGUUCUGGGUAAAUAGAGUUUCUAGCAUUUAUGUUAGUUACUUGUUCCCCGGAUAGUUUAGUUACGUAGCCAAUUGUGGAACUUUCUUGCUAAAAUUUUUAAGAAUACUAUUUGGGUUAAACCAAUUAGUUCUUAUUAAUUAUAACGAUUAUCAAUUAACAAUCAAUUCAGAACUGGCACGGACUUGGGGAAUCCGACUGUCUAAUUAAAACAAAGCAUUGUGAUGGCCCUAGCGGGUGUUGACACAAUGUGAUUUCUGCCCAGUGCUCUGAAUGUCAAAGUGAAGAAAUUCAAGUAAGCGCGGGUCAACGGCGGGAGUAACUAUGACUCUCUUAAGGUAGCCAAAUGCCUCGUCAUCUAAUUAGUGACGCGCAUGAAUGGAUUAACGAGAUUCCUACUGUCCCUAUCUACUAUCUAGCGAAACCACAGCCAAGGGAACGGGCUUGGAAUAAUUAGCGGGGAAAGAAGACCCUUUUGAGCUUGACUCUAAUCUGGCAGUGUAAGGAGACAUAAGAGGUGUAGAAUAAGUGGGAGAUAUUAGACCUCGGUUUGGUAUCGUCAAUGAAAUACCACUACUCUUAUUGUUUCCUUACUUACUUGAUUAAAUGGAACGUGUAUCAUUUCCUAGCCAUUAUACGGAUAUAUUUAUUAUAUCUUAUGGUAUUGGGUUUUGAUGCAAGCUUCUUGAUCAAAGUAUCACGAGUUUGUUAUAUAAUCGCAAACAAAUUCUUUAAUAAAACGAUGCAUUUAUGUAUUUUUGAUUUGAAAAUUUGGUAUAACUCCAAUUACUCAGGUAUGAUCCAAUUCAAGGACAUUGCCAGGUAGGGAGUUUGACUGGGGCGGUACAUCUCUCAAAUAAUAACGGAGGUGUCCCAAGGCCAGCUCAGUGCGGACAGAAACCACACAUAGAGCAAAAGGGCAAAUGCUGACUUGAUCUCGGUGUUCAGUACACACAGGGACAGCAAAAGCUCGGCCUAUCGAUCCUUUUGGUUUAAAGAGUUUUUAACAAGAGGUGUCAGAAAAGUUACCAU